GAUGAACGUUGGCGGCGUGCCUAAUACAUGCAAGUCGAACGUGAUCCAUUAGCAAUAAUGGUGAAAGUGGCGCACGGGUGAGUAACACAUGGUUGACCUGUCCUUCAGCGGGGGACAACCACUGGAAACGGUGGCUAAUACCCCAUACGUUCGUCCGGGUUAGAGGCUGGACGAGGAAAGGCGCAAGUCGCUGAAGGAGGGAACUGUGGCCCAUCAGCUAGUUGGUAGGGUAAAGGCCUACCAAGGCGAGGACGGGUAGGGGGCCUGAGAGGGUGAUCCCCCACACUGGAACUGAGAGACGGUCCAGACUCCUACGGGUGGCAG
rnacentral:rRNA from 1 species